AGCAACAUGGCGCAGCGGAAGCGCGCCGGGCUCAUAGGUUGCUCUUAGAGUUCUUAGAGUUCUUAAAGUUCCAAAAAAGAAUUAUUAAUGACAAUCCUUGUUACCCGGAGGUCCCAUGAUCGAAACAUGGUGUUGCUA